UUAAACUGAAGAGUUUGAUCAUGGCUCAGAUUGAACGCUGGCGGCAGGCUUAACACAUGCAAGUCGAACGACAUAGUGGCAGACGGGUGAGUAACGCGUGGGAACGUACCUUUCACUACGGAAUAGCUCUUGGAAACGAGUGGUAAUACCGUAUACGCCCUCCGGGGGAAAGAUUUAUCGGUGAAAGAUCGGCCCGCGUUAGAUUAGCUAGUUGGUAGGGUAACGGCCUACCAAGGCGACGAUGGCUAGCCGGCCUGAGAGGGUGAUCGGCCACAAGGGGACUGAGACACGGCCCUUACUCCUACGGGAGGCAGCAGUGGGGAAUAUUGGACAAUGGACCAAAAGUCUGAUCCAGCAAUUCUGUGUGCACGAUGA
rnacentral:rRNA from 1 species